rnacentral:misc_RNA from 1 species
GAUGAAGAACGUAGCGAAAUGCGAUAAGUAAUGUGAAUUGCAGAAUUCAGUGAAUCAUCGAAUCUUUGAACGCACAUUGCGCCCGCCAGUAUUCUGGCGGGCAUGCCUGUUCGAGCGUCAUUUCAACUAUCAAGCCCCAGGCUUGUGUUGGGGACCUGCGGCUGCCGCAGGCCCUGAAAACCAGUGGCGGGCUCGCUGUCACACCGGGCGUAGUAGAUUUUAUCUCGCUCAGGGCGUGCUGCGGGUUCCGGCCGUUAAAAAGCCUUUUUUACCCAAGGUUGACCUCGGAUCAGGUAGGAAGACCCGCUGAACUUAAGCAUAUCAAUAAGCGGAGGA